rnacentral:miRNA from 17 species
AGGUUGGGAUUUAUUGCAAUGCU